CAGCCGCCACGGUAAAACGAAGGGGGCUAGCGUUGCUCGGAAUGACUGGGCGUAAAGGGCGCGUAGGCGGCGGCCAAAGUCAGGCGUGAAAUUCCCGGGCUCAACCUGGGGGCUGCGUUUGAUACUUGGUUGCUUGAGUGGGGAAGAGGGUCGUGGAAUUCCCAGUGUAGAGGUGAAAUUCGUAGAUAUUGGGAAGAACACCGGUGGCGAAGGCGGCGACCUGGUCCUUUACUGACGCUGAGGCGCGAAAGCGUGGGGAGCAAACAGGAUUAGAUACCCCCGUAGUCCCUGUCUCUUAUAC
rnacentral:rRNA from 1 species